ACUCUUGGCGUAAAAUUUAAUCACGUGAUCUAUUGGAAAACGUUGAGGUUGCGUUGUCGGAACGAGACAAAAGACGAUUACUUGCUUUGCUUGCUUGAAUGAAACAUUUCAUCUUUAAAUUUCAAAUCUUUUGAAUUGAAAGACAUUUUAAACGGUGUAGUAUACAGUAUCUACUGUCAGUAUCUGUUAUUCAAUCUUUCCUUGUUUCCAAAAAACAAAUAUACAUUUGGCUAUACAUGUUCCUAUUUUUUUUGUGUGCCUUGUUGCAUAUUAAAACUAUGUGGUGAAAAAUUCAACUUUCCCACCUCAAAAUUCAAAAUUAUUUUUCAAUGUUUUGAUGCUUGAUUGAUGAUAAUUGCCAUAUGUUUUCUCUUUCAGGAUAAAGGGCCAUUUUAAAAUUUGGUCUGAGAAGCGAUGAGUUUUAAGAUAAAAGUACCAUUAGAUUAAAUGUGGAGUAAAGUGGUUAGGGGACGGCUUAAACCUUCAUAUCACCCGCCUGAAGGGGUUAUGUUUGUAAGUAUGUGUGUCGUAAGUAUCAUAUAGGUAAGAAUGGGGAAGUAAAAUAAAAAUUGUACCAAGAAUUGUUCAAUUGAAAAUGAUGUAUGGACCGUGAAGAUAUGGCUUAGACAUGACCAAAAUCACAUGAUACAUGUGAUUGUUAAUAUUAUUAUUUCAUUAAUUACCAAUAAAUGUGUGGAUGAAAAAAUUCACUUUAUUUCAUCAUAAUUCAGUUUUGUUGAAUUUUUCUAUUAUGAAUAAGAUGCUGUAUCCAUACUGUUAAUAAAAUUUGUUGAAACAUAAA